rnacentral:rRNA from 1 species
GACGAACCGUGCGAACGUUGUUCGGAAUCACUGGGCUUAAAGGGCGCGUAGGCGGCUUGCCAAGUCAGGGGUGAAAUCCUGCAGCUUAACUGUAGAAGGGCCUUUGAUACUGGCGAGCUCGAGGGAGGUAGGGGUAUGUGGAACUUCCGGUGGAGCGGUGAAAUGCGCAGAUAUCAGGAAGAACACCAAUGGCGAAAGCAGCUCUCUGGGACGGUACUGACGCUGAGACGCGAAAGCGUGGGGAGCGAACAGG